rnacentral:rRNA from 1 species
ACAAGCGGUGGAGCAUGUGGUUAAUUCGAAGCAACGCGAAGAACCUUACCAGGUCUUGACAUCCCUGACAACCCGAGAGAUCGGGCGUUCCCCUUCGGGGGACAGGGUGACAGGUGGUGCAUGGUUGUCGUCAGCUCGUGUCGUGAGAUGUUGGGUUAAGUCCCGCAACGAGCGCAACCCUCGACCUUAGUUGCCAGCAUUCAGUUGGGCACUCUAAGGUGACUGCCGGCUAAAAGUCGGAGGAAGGUGGGGAUGACGUCAAAUCAUCAUGCCCCUUAUGACCUGGGCUACACACGUGCUACAAUGGGCGGUACAAAGGGUCGCGAACCCGCGAGGGGGAGCCAAUCCCAAAAAGCCGCUCUCAGUUCGGAUUGCAGGCUGCAACUCGCCUGCAUGAAGCCGGAAUCGCUAGUAAUCGCGGAUCAGCAUGCCGCGGUGAAUACGUUCCCGGGCCUU